rnacentral:lncRNA from 1 species
AGAAAGUAUACAUUUUUACCAUGUAAUUCCAUUACUCCCAAGAGCUCACAUUUGAUUAGAUAGUCCACAUGCAAUAAUCCAAAAGCAAGGCAAGAGAAAGAAUAAGAUACUUGGGUAUUGAGAAUGGGUCAUGAUGAACAAAGGGAAAAGGGAAGAGAUCAAACUCAAGGUUACUUCCAAUUGUUUCUAUUUGUGAUGGGUGUGAGUACCUUAGGUAUGCAUGGGUUAACUCUUUGAUGAUGGGGAAUCAAUGAAAUGAGGUUGAUAUUUAUGAUGAUUGAGGUGAGAGAGAGAAAGACAAGUUGAAGGGUGG